rnacentral:rRNA from 1 species
UACGUAGGGCGCAAGCGUUGUCCGGAAUUAUUGGGCGUAAAGAGCGUGUAGGCGGCUAGGUAGGUGGGUUGUGAAAACUGGAGGCUCAACCUUCAGACGUCGACGGAAACCGUCUGGCUAGAGUCCGGAAGAGGAGAGUGGAAUUCCUGGUGUAGCGGUGAAAUGCGCAGAUAUCAGGAAGAACACCGAUGGCGAAGGCAGCUCUCUGGGACGGUACUGACGCUGAGACGCGAAAGCGUGGGGAGCGAACAGG